rnacentral:rRNA from 1 species
GUGUGAUGAAGGUCUUCGGAUUGUAAAGCACUUUCGACCGGGACGAAACCCUCGGGGUUAAUACCCCCGGGCUUGACGGUACCGGGAGAAGAAGCACCGGCUAACUCUGUGCCAGCAGCCGCGGUAAUACAGAGGGUGCAAGCGUUGUCCGGAAUUAUUGGGCGUAAAGCGAACGUAGGCGGUUACUUAAGUUUGGUCUUAAAGACCGGGGCUCAACUCCGGGAAUGGACUGAAUACUGGGUGACUAGAGGAUGUCAGAGGAAAGUGGAAUUCCAAGUGUAGCGGUGAAAUGCGUAGAUAUUUGGAGGAACACCAGUGGCGAAAGCGGCUUUCUGGGACAUUCCUGACGCUGAGGUUCGAAAGCUCGGGGAGCAAACAGGAUUAGAUACCCUGGUAGUCCGAGCCGUAAACGAUGGACACUAGGUGUCGGGGGUAUCGACCCCCCCGGUGCCGUAGCUAACGCGUUAAGUGUCCCGCCUGGGGAGUACGGUCGCAAGACUGAAACUCAAAGGAAUUGACGGGGGCCCGCACAAGCGGUGGAUGAUGUGGUUUAAUUCGAUGCAACGCGAAAAACCUUACCUACCCUUGACAUGCCAGGAACGCUCCAGAAAUGGGGCGGUGCCCGAAAGGGAACCUGGACACAGGUGCUGCAUGGCUGUCGUCAGCUCGUGUCGUGAGAUGUUGGGUUAAGUCCCGCAACGAGCGCAACCCUU